AUGGAGAGACUUCUAAAACUCACGGGAUUUGGUUGGGAUGACGAUGACAAAAUGAUAAAAGCUCCAGAAGAUAUUUGGGAAGAACUAAUUAAGAAGGAUAAGGCUAUCCAAGAAUAUCGAGAUAAGGUGUGGCCUAGUUGGAUAGAUCUUCAAGCCAUAUGUGCUAGUUCAAAAGCAUCUGGAGCUGGUGCUGUAUCUAGCAAAGGAAAAGAUGGUGCAUGUACGACCAAAUCUUCACAAAUUGAUCUCAAUACGGAAGUUGAAGUACAUGACAUCGAUUCUGAUGAUAUCAAUGCUUCCCCUGGUGUCUUCACCAAGAAGUCAACUACCAUUGAGCCAGAAAAAAAGAAGUCCCCUGGAAGUGGAUCCAAGGAAACUGAAAGAGGACAAAAACGGACAGCCGAUGAUGCCAUAAUAGCAAUUGAUCGCCUUGCAGAUGCAUCACUUAGCAUUGCUGAAGCAAAGAAAACAGUAGCACAACAAACUGAAGCUUACUCGGUUAAAUCUUGUAUGGCAAUACUAAAUAGUAUGAGUAAUCUAGAUCCCAAUGAGAAACUAAAAGCGGUAAAGGCAUUUACAGAUGAUUCAAGCAAUCAAGUCCCAUAA
rnacentral:rRNA from 1 species